UACGUAGGGCGCAAGCGUUGUCCGGAAUUAUUGGGCGUAAAGAGCUCGUAGGCGGCUUGUCACGUCGAUUGUGAAAGCCCGAGGCUUAACCUCGGGUCUGCAGUCGAUACGGGCUAGCUAGAGUGUGGUAGGGGAGAUCGGAAUUCCUGGUGUAGCGGUGAAAUGCGCAGAUAUCAGGAGGAACACCGGUGGCGAAGGCGGUUCUCUGGGCAUGUCCUGACGCUGAGGAGCGAAAGUGUGGGGAGCGAACAGG
rnacentral:rRNA from 1 species